UCAGAUGGCUGUGAGCCACCAUGUGGUUGCUGGGAAUUGAACUCAGGACCUCUGGAAGAGCAGUCAGUGCUCUUAACCACUGAGCCAUCUCCACAGCCCAAUAAUAAUUAUUUUUCAAGUUACAAUUAUUAAGACACCAUGGUACUAGCACAAUAAUGACAUGUAAGGGAGCUAGAGACAACUCAACACUUAGCAGCAUUCUAAAUUAACAGAAUUGAACCCAGACCCACUCAAACCCUCAUAUUACAGUCAAUUUUUAAAAAUGUAUUCAUUUUACUUUCUAUAUAUGAGUGUUUGCCUGGAUAUAUGUUUGUGUAACGCCUUAUGUUCCCGGUGCCCACAGAGACCAGAAGAGGGCAUCAGAUCUGGAGUAACAGAGGGUCAAGAGGUACCAUGUGGGUGCUGGGAUCAAGCCCAAGUCCUCUGCAAGAGCACCAAGUGCCCUUAACCACAGAGCCAUCUCGCCAGAGCCCAUUGCGGUUUUCUGAGACACUGCACUGUAUACCCUGGCUGUCUGGAACUUAAAGGUAUCCACCCUCCUGGUUCUGGCCUCUCAAGUGCUGGAAUUAAAAUGCUAGCCAGCACACGCAGCUUCAGCUGUGGGGUUUUUUGUUUUUUGUUGUUUUUUUUUCUUUGUUUGUUUGUUUUGUUUUAUUUUUAUGACCAGGCGAAGGCAACUCAGCAGAGAAGAAUGUGGCACUGAGACAACCCAGACUCAUCAAAAGAACGAGGUUGAGCCAGACCGUGGUGGUGCUCACCUUUGUCCCAGUGCUCAGGACAUAGCAGUAGCAGUGCAUGUGGAGGUCAGAGGACAACCUG
rnacentral:lncRNA from 1 species